UUUGCAAACAAAAUUGAAACUCAGAUUAAAAGAAAUCAUUAAGAAUGAUACUAAGUUAUUAACAUGAUCAAUGAGGAGUUGUAUUUUGAAAUACCUAAUUAAAAUUCCAACAAUCCCUCACAUAUUUCAAAUUACAAAUCCAAUCACCAAAAGGGAAUUUGAGUAACACAAGUUUAAAGAGGACAAUGAAGUACCAAAUGAGAGUGAGAAUCCAAUGCAUCAGAACUGAUGGUCACCAAUGGUCGCUGUUCUGCUUCCACCUCUGCUCAGAGUGAGCGGUCAAUCGCCAGUGCCACUACUACCGAGUCAGCCGCCGACGUGCUUUCGUCUGUGACAUUGCCCAGGUAGCCUAAACUGCUAGGCAACUCCACAGCAGUCGUCGCCACUAACCGCCCCCACCAUCCGCCUUGGUCACUUUCCACCCUUCCCAGGAUAGGGUAGAGACCAAAUCGAUGCCCGUGGAGGGAGUGGAGGAGGAAGGACACCUCCCUACGUACUGAGGAGUAAAAGGCUCGAGGCAUUUGUUAGGGCUUGAAGACGAACCGAAUCACCCGGACCACGCAAUAAAGGAUUCGGAUUGUAUACAUCCCUAACCACCGUCGAGCGAGUGCCAAUGUUAACAGUUUGUUGACUCAUGACUGCAGUGCCCCUCAUCUGCAACAAAUGCCCCAUGGACGCCGAAUCAUGGAUUAAGCCUAGGGGUGAGUUUUGUAAGGAGAUAAACCUCCAGGUUUUGAAAUUGCAAUCCAACUUCGACUGGAACAAGCAGGAUAAAGGUUGUGUCGAUUACAUCAAACAUGAGUGAAGCGGCUGGUACAAGGAAUCCAAGUAUGAGCUGCACAAGUACUACAAGACUUGUCUAACGCCUUAGGCAGCGCUGGCAAAACUACCCAAGGAGAUUGUGGAGAAGGUGCCAUGUGGGAGUGGCUGUGUACUCAUUUUGAGAGUGAAAAGUAUCAGAAAAAAUCGACGACAAAUAAAGGAAAUCAGGACAAGAAGUUGUAAGAUCACCACUCUAGUUCUCGACCCCUAUCUUACCGGGUCGAGGAAUGACGGGAAACUAGGGAGAAGUUCCCAGAAGUUGUGGUUUGGGUGGAGACGCAUGUGAAUUAUAGCAACGAGGUCACAGACGGAGUUUAUAUAAAAGAAGGACAAGUAACUUUCCAACCUUUCCUAGUAGCAUCUAGACAUGCCUAUAGAGGAGCUGACACUUGAGCCGGAGGUGUCUCUCCAGAUGCUGAUGGACGAGGUUGGACGAAGGAAGGGCAAGAAAGUUUGCAACCUAGGAGUAUGUCGGGUUUGGGAAGUCGGGUCUUCUUCUUCAUCCAGCUCUACUCCAUCGAUCGAGACUGAUUCCAGACUUCAGCAUAUGGAUAUGGAGCUGGUGCGCCAAAAGGAAUUAGUGUGCUUGUAUACUUCCUUGCCAUAUCCCAGUCUUAGUCAACUUCUGGGAUACCCGAGCUUGUGCAGCCAUACCAGAAGCCCCCUAGCAGCAGUAUCAGGAGCCGUCCUAAGAGCCGCCUCAGCAAUCACGGGACCCCCUAGCACACUAGUUUGCUAUUUCCUUUUUUUAAUUUUUCUAUAUUAUAAUUGUACGAA